GAUGAAGAACGCAGCGAAAUGCGAUAAGUAAUGUGAAUUGCAGAAUUCAGUGAAUCAUCGAGUCUUUGAACGCACAUUGCGCCCCCUGGUAUUCCGGGGGGCAUGCCUGUCCGAGCGUCAUUGCUGCCCUCAAGCACGGCUUGUGUGUUGGGCCGCCGUCCCCGGUUUCCCCCGGGGACGGGCCCGAAAGGCAGCGGCGGCACCGCGUCCGAUCCUCGAGCGUAUGGGGCUUUGUCACCCGCUCUGUAGGCCCGGCCGGCGCCAGCCGGCACCCAACUUUAUUUCUAAGGUUGACCUCGGAUCAGGUAGGGAUACCCGCUGAACUUAAGCAUAUCAAUAAGCGGAGGA
rnacentral:misc_RNA from 1 species